GAUGAACGCUGGCGGCGUGCCUAACACAUGCAAGUCGAGCGGGAUUCAUGAGGACGAAACUUCGGUCUAGAAAUCAUGAUGAGAGCGGCGGACGGGUAAGUAACGCGUAGGCAACCUGCCCUUAGCACAGGGAUAGCCGCGGGAAACUGGGAUUAAAACCUGAUAAUGCCAAACAGUCACAUGGCUGUUUGGCCAAAGAUUUAUCGGCUAAGGAUGGGCCUGCGUCUGAUUAGUUAGUUGGUGGGGUAACGGCCUACCAAGACGACGAUCAGUAGCCGACCUGAGAGGGUGAUCGGCCACAUUGGAACUGAGACACGGUCCAAACUCCUACGGGAGGCAGCAGUGGGGAAUAUUGCACAAUGGGCGAAAGCCUGAUGCAGCAACGCCGCGUGAGCGAUGAAGGCCUUUGGGUCGUAAAGCUCUGUCCUAGGGGACGAACAAAAUGACGGUACCCUUGGAGGAAGCCCCGGCUAACUACGUGCCAGCCGCCGCCGUAAGAC
rnacentral:rRNA from 1 species